rnacentral:rRNA from 1 species
AGGAGCAUGUGGUUUAAUUCGAUGAUACGCGAGGAACCUUACCUGGGCUUGAAAGUUAGUGACAUUCUGUGAAAGCAGAACUUCCGCAAGGACACGAAACUAGGUGCUGCAUGGCUGUCGUCAGCUCGUGCCGUGAGGUGUUGGGUUAAGUCCCGUAACGAGCGCAACCCCUAUCAUUAGUUGCCAUCAGGUCAUGCUGGGGACUCUAAUGAGACUGCCCGCGCAAGCGGUGAGGAAGGUGGGGACGACGUCAAGUCAUCACGGCCCUUACGUCCAGGGCUACACACGUGCUACAAUGGUAGAUACAGCAGGUUGCCACAUGGUAACAUGGAGCUAAUCCCAAAAGUCUAUCUCAGUUCGGAUUGAGGUCUGCAACUCGACCUCAUGAAGCUGGAUUCGCUAGUAAUCGAAAAUCAGCAAUGUUUCGGUGAAUACGUUCCCGGGCCUU